UUACUUCGGUAAAUGGCGACCGGCGCACGGGUGAGUAACGCGUAUGCAACCUACCUUUAACUGGGGCAUAGCUCGAGGAAACUCGAAUUAAUUCCCCAUAGUACAAUAUAAUAUCGCAUGAUAUAAUUGUUAAAGAUUUAUCGGUUAAAGAUGGGCAUGCGUCUGAUUAGCUUGUUGGUAAGGUAACGGCUUACCAAGGCUACGAUCAGUAGGGGGUCUGAGAGGAUGAUCCCCCACACUGGUACUGAGACACGGACCAGACGUCUACGGACGGCAGCAGUAAGGAAUAUUGGGCAAUGGGCGCAAGCCUGACCCAGCCAUGCCGCGUGCAGGAUGACGACCCUAUGGGUUGUAAACUGCUUUUAUAUAGGAAGAAAAUACUCUUGCGAGAGGAUCUGACGGUACUAUAUGAAUAAGGACCGGCUAACUCCGUGCCAGCAGCCGCGGUAAUACGGAGGGUUCAAGCGUUUUCCGGAUUUAUUGGGUUUAAAGGGUGCGUAGGUGGUUUAUUAAGUCAGUGGUGAAAUCCUGCAGCUCAACUGUAGAACUGCCAUUGAUACUGGUAAACUUGAGUUUGGUUUAGGUAAGCGGAAUUUAUGAUGUAGCGGUGAAAUGCAUAGAUAUCAUAAGGAACACCAAUAGCGAAGGC
rnacentral:rRNA from 1 species